AACGCAAAGCUGGCGGCGUGCUUAACACAUGCAAGUCGAACGAGAAAGAGUUCCUUCGGGAACUUGAGUAGAGUGGCGCACGGGUGAGUAACGCGUAGAUAAUCUACCCUUAUAUAUGGAAUAACUGGGCGAAAGCUCAGCUAAUACCGUAUACGCUUUUCUGGGCGCGAGACCGGGGGAGGAAAGGUGGCCUCUGAUUCAAGCUAUCGUAUAAGGAUGAGUCUGCGUACCAUUAGCUAGUAGGUGGGGUAAUAGCCCACCUAGGCGACGAUGGUUAGCGGGUCUGAGAGGAUGAUCCGCCACACUGGAACUGGAACACGGACCAGACUCCUACGGGAGGCAGCAGUGAGGAAUUUUGCGCAAUGGGGGUAACCCUGACGCAGCGACGCCGCGUGGGUGAUGAAGGCUUUCGAGUCGUAAAGCCCUGUCAAGUGGGAAGAACCGUCAAUGUGCUAAUACCAUGUUGAUCUGACGGUACCACUAAAGGAAGCACCGGCUAACUCCGUGCCAGCAGCCGCGGUAAUACGGAGGGUGCAAGCGUUGUUCGGAAUUACUGGGCGUAAAGGGCGCGUAGGCGGCGCUGUAAGUCAGAUGUGA
rnacentral:rRNA from 1 species